UUAUAUGAGAGUUUGAUCCUGGCUCAGGACGAACGCUGGCGGCGUGCCUAAUACAUGCAAGUAGGACGCACAGUUUAUACCGUAGCUUGCUACACCAUAGACUGUGAGUUGCGAACGGGUGAGUAACGCGUAGGUAACCUACCUAUUAGAGGGGGAUAACUAUUGGAAACGAUAGCUAAUACCGCAUAACAGUAUGUAACACAUGUUAGAUGCUUGAAAGAUGCAAUUGCAUCGCUAGUAGAUGGACCUGCGUUGUAUUAGCUAGUAGGUAGGGUAAUGGCCUACCUAGGCAACGAUACAUAGCCGACCUGAGAGGGUGAUCGGCCACACUGGGACUGAGACACGGCCCAGACUCCUACGGGAGGCAGCAGUAGGGAAUCUUCGGCAAUGGGGGGAACCCUGACCGAGCAACGCCGCGUGAGUGAAGAAGGUUUUCGGAUCGUAAAGCUCUGUUGUUAAGGAAGAACGAGUGUGAGAAUGGAAAGUUCAUGCUGUGACGGUACUUAACCAGAAAGGGACGGCUAACUACGUGCCAGCAGCCGCGGUAAUACGUAGGUCCCGAGCGUUGUCCGGAUUUAUUGGGCGUAAAGCGAGCGCAGGCGGUUAGAAAAGUCUGAAGUGAAAGGCAGUGGCUCAACCAUUGUAGGCUUUGGAAACUGUUUAACUUGAGUGCAGAAGGGGAGAGUGGAAUUCCAUGUGUAGCGGUGAAAUGCGUAGAUAUAUGGAGGAACACCGGUGGCGAAAGCGGCUCUCUGGUCUGUAACUGACGCUGAGGCUCGAAAGCGUGGGGAGCGAACAGGAUUAGAUACCCUGGUAGUCCACGCCGUAAACGAUGAGUGCUAGGUGUUAGGUCCUUUCCGGGACUUAGUGCCGCAGCUAACGCAUUAAGCACUCCGCCUGGGGAGUACGACCGCAAGGUUGAAACUCAAAGGAAUUGACGGGGGCCCGCACAAGCGGUGGAGCAUGUGGUU
rnacentral:rRNA from 1 species